CACGGAGAUGGGAGACUUCGUUAACAUGGCGUUCCGGCCGCUUCCAGUCCGGUAGGACAGAUGAUUCGGCUAUUCUCGUCCAAUUACGAUAGAGAUUCCCACAUCUGGGGAAUUCGAGGGAUCAGCUCGUCCAGAGUGCAAUGACCGAACCUCGCCCUGGGUGAAUCUCCUUCGUGAUCAAGGUGUCUCCCCUGCCAGGUGGACAUGGUGUUGAUGUUUGGAUCAUCUGAAGUGGCAGAGAGAUGCAAGUCGUUCUGGGACUGACCGCCAGAUCCUUUGCCUGGAUCUUGUGGUAAAUUAGCUCCUCGUCCCUCCUCUCCUCCUGGGGUACGGUGAUGUUGGCCAGGGUGGUCUCAAAGUCCACAAUUUCCUGCAUAAGCGAUCUGGACGUCUCCUGUGAGCCCCCCAACAGGACCCCUAACUCCACCAGGAAGUCUAGGUCCUGGAUGGAUGGAAGCUUGGUCCCACUGAUGCCGAGCAGUUGCCAUACCAGGCGGUGAUGCAACCGGUCAGGAUGCUCUCGAUGGUGCAGCUGUAGAACUUUUUGAGGAUCUGGGGACCCAUGCAAAAUCUUUUCAGUCUCCUGAGGGGGAAAGGUGUUGUUGUGCCUUUUUCACGGCUGUAUUGGUGUGUUUGGACCAUUAUAGUUUAUUGGUGAUGUGGAGACAAAGGAACUUGAAACUCUCGACCCGCUCCGCAUCAUCUGACCACUUCCAUAUUGAGCGAGUCAUUGGUACUUCCUGCUUUAAUUUUAGCUUGUAAGCAGGAAUCAUGUGUAAGGGGAGCGUGUGUUUGUGCAAGUAUUUGGGUAUGUGUUUCUGGGAUGUGGGCAUGCAUGGCUAGGACCACAAUUUGCUAAGAAUUCUAAGUUUCACAAGGCAAAAUGUCUAUGGAUUAUGACAGAAGAUUAUGCGGUUUUGUUCCACGGCUGACAUUGGCAUCUUGUUCAUUUGGCGUAAACAUAGCUAUCCCUGGAUUGCAAAAAACAAAGAAGAUUAUUCUCUCCAUCUAUUACAUUAAUUUCAUGACUGACAAAUGAGUAACAGAUUUCCUUCAAUCUCCUUAACCUUUUACACUCGUACCUGGGUUGGAAAUGGCAAAUCUGGGUACUGAUAAGUGCUUUAAUUGUAUGGGUUUUGACUGACAGUUGUUCUGAACUUGAGCACAGCACGCAACAAGAAGUUGCCCCCAUCCCUCCCACUAAUUGGGCAACGUUUGAAAAUGCUUUGUUGUCUGGAGUGAAGGAAAUGCUGUAAAUUAAGAGGACUCUGUAUUUUGAAAGAUGAGAAGUUGAGGAUUAUAUUAAAUACCGCUUUGAUGUCAUACAAGCAA